ACGGACUUCGGUCUGGUGGCGAGUGGCGAACGGGUGAGUAAUGUAUCGGAACGUACCUUUCAGUGGGGGAUAACGUAGCGAAAGUUACGCUAAUACCGCAUAUUCUGUGAGCAGGAAAGCAGGGGAUCGCAAGACCUUGCGCUGAUUGAGCGGCCGAUAUCAGAUUAGCUAGUUGGUGAGGUAAAGGCUCACCAAGGCGACGAUCUGUAGCGGGUCUGAGAGGAUGAUCCGCCACACUGGAACUGAGACACGGUCCAGACUCCUACGGGAAGGCAGCAGUGGGGGAAUUUUGGGACAAUGGGGGGCAACCCCUGAUCCAGCCAAUGCCCGCGUUGAGUUGAAGAAGGCCUUUCGGGGUUGGUAAAGCUUCUUUUCCGGCGGGGAAGAAAUUCGCAUUAGGGUAAUUACCCCUGGUGUGGGAAUGGACCGUACCGGGAAAUAAAGAAAGCAACCGGGCUAAACUACGUGCCCAGCAGCCCGGCGGGUAAUACCGUAGGGGUGGCGAGCCGUUAAAUCGGAAUUACUGGGGCGUAAAAGCGUGCGCCAGGCGGUUUCGUAAGACAGAAGGUGAAAUCCCCGGGCUCAACCCUGGGAACUGCCUUUGUGACUGCGAAGCUAGAGUAC
rnacentral:rRNA from 1 species